UACGAAGGGGGCUAGCGUUGCUCGGAAUCACUGGGCGUAAAGCGCGUUCAGGCGGUUUGACAAGUCGGGCAUGAAAUCUCUCGGCUCAACCGGGAGAGGUUGUCCGAUACUGUCAGACUUGAGGGCAGUAGAGGGUGGUGGAAUUCCGGGUGUAGUGGUGAAAUGCGUAGAUAUCCGGAGGAACACCAGUGGCGAAGGCGGCUCACUGGGCCGGUCCUGACGCUCAGGCGCGAAAGCGUGGGGAGCGAUCCGG
rnacentral:rRNA from 1 species